rnacentral:lncRNA from 1 species
AUUUCUUGAAACAUAGUGCUUUAAUAAAUUUAAUCAUUAUUAUAAGACAGAACAUGUGUAAAGAAACUAUAUAUUUUGAGAUUUCUCUUCAAAGUAGGCAUCUUUCACAUUAGCUACCUUUCAUAAAGGAUAUACAGCAGAAUUCUAUUUUUAUGAACCAUUUGAAAACUAUUUUUAUUUCUGAAAAUGAGUGUGGAAUAUCAAAGAGAUCUGUGAUGUAAUAAUCACCUGGAACACAAGAAAUUGUGAUGUGGAUCAUAAGCAGAAAUGUUUUUGGCAGGAAAAUUAAUAAUUCAGGAAAUUUCUUCGUAUUCCAAAUUAUAUAAAAGAAAAAUUAAUGUCUUCUGUCAUAGUUCAUGUUCUGUGGGAAUAUUUAAUGAAAAUGAAUCUAGUUACUAUAAAAAUGUAUUUUGAUUAGAAAAUUGCAUAGGAUAUUAAUGUUUCCUUUCAAAAAUAUGCAUAGUUUAGCAAUAUACUGUAUCUUCAUCUUAUUACUGUAUAUGCCUUUAAAAAUUUUCUCUUUCUUUCGGUUGAAUUUAGAAUAUUUAUUAAUAUUCUUAAACAAAUUUAAUAGUCAAAAAGACUAUUUUCCAUUUUUUAUUUUCAUUCAGUGUUAUUCUACAAACACUGCCAUAAAAAUGUAUCAUAUACUACUAUAUAUUGAAAUUCUUUCAUUCAAUGUAUAAAGUCAGUAUUGAAUUCUUAUGUAUAAUUCAGAAAUAAGUAAAAUUUAGAUCUGUGUAAAGUUGUGUAGUGCAAAGAAAUAUUGGUCAAAAUAUAUUUUUAAAAUAAAAAGUACAAGCCCAAAUUAUUUAAAAACAUAUAUUAUGAAUGGAUUUUUGUGAUAAGUAGCUGAAAUUUCUAUUGAUUGCUAUCACAAACCAGUUGAAACACCC